UGGAUGAUCUUUGAGGUCCCUUCCAACCCGAGCCAUUCUGUGAUUCUGUGAUUUCAAGGCCAGGCAGGAUGGAUGAAGGCAGAUGUCCAUGGGCCAUUCCAUGUGCAGUUUCACUCUGGGUCACCUCCAAGUCACUGCAAAGAUGCUCUGGAGGGCAACAGGUGCAUGGUCUUUGGCCAUACUUGACCACCUAACUUGGCUAGGAGGCUGCUCUUACAAGACAGCAGAUACAUCACUUAGAUGCUGUCUGAGACUCUUUGAAAAGAGCUUCGGGGUUAUUUUUUCCUUGUUCCUGGUAAAGAAAGAAAUGCAAAGGAAUGAAAACAGUGCAAGAAGCAAGCUGACACGUGAAUGCGCCUUCCUGCGCUUUGGCUCUGUCACUGUUCCUGCUAAUGCAACACACACCCACGGCCAGGCUGUGGAUGGUGCUUACAGCAUUGAGCCUUGACACGUGCUGCAGGAUCCAGGCCAGUUCCCAUCAAAGUCAAGCUGAUUAUUUUAAUUAGCUUUGUUUCCUUCCAGCCCCCUGACUCUUUAUUUUGUUUAUUAUGGUAACUGAUUUGAAUGUUACGUUGUUAACCUCAAUCACAACCCAAUUAAAAAGUCCACCAUAAAAUGCUGUGUCUUUGCCAUCUUGACUUGGAAUAAUUAAUGUGAGUAGUACAAAAAAACCUCCCUCUACUACUUCUCAUUCACAUUUGGGGAAUGUGGCACAGAAGUGAGGACCAUUUGCCAUUUGGGACUGUCACCCGAUGGCACUGACCCUUUCUGCACCAUCACAGGCAGCAUGGACAUCUGGGCAGCCCUGAGAACCAAAAGAGAGGAAGGUGGAGAGGAGGGUGGAGAGGUGGGAGCCCCAUUAUUCCUCUAAUGCUUCCAAAGGGAAAGCAGGCUUCUUCAAAGCAGGAAAAACCCUUUGGGUGACAGUUUGAAGGGGACAUGGUAGAAAGCCUGGAAAACUUGACCAGUGGCUAGAUGGAGGUUACACUUCUAGCAGGACCAGUACCCAAGACUGCCUGUUCUGGGGAAAGGCUAGAGUCAGGUCCUUAAUGAAACUGGCUUUACAUUUGGGAGUUUUUGUUUUGUUUUGGUUUGGUUUUUGUCUGUUUGUUUGUUUUAAUUGUUCCUAAAACCCUUUUAGAACUGCAUUCUAGUGUUAAAAAGCAUUAGGAUUGUAUUUUCCCUUCUGCCAAAAGGAGAAAAGGGUUAAAGAAAAAUUACUCAUCCCAGGGAUUGAAGGCUUUUUCUAAAGCACUGCUUGCUCUGGUCCUUGGGCUACAUCUAGUAAAACUGGUCCUUGUCCAUCAGUACCCCCAGAACAGCCUUUCUCUCCUUCCAUUAUCCAGAAACCUCCACAGAUUUCCCUGCUCAGAAAUAUCCCUCUGCCAUCAGCUUUCCUCCCCAUGAUAGCUCAGAAACCCAUAAAAGCGCUUUUUGCAAUGCUGCGUGGAUUAAAUAAAGUCUCUGAGCCACCCCACCACACACACACACACACACACACACAUACACACUGCUGUAUUUACAGAUUGCAAAUUGUCUUUACAGCCAUGAGCUGCACACAUGCAGAUACAAAUCUCAGCACAGCAGGGUCCUGGGUACGCUGUUGCUGGAGCAGCAAGAAAUGCUGCUGGUAGCCACCGGUGUGUUGAUAGCUAGGGCAAAGCUGCGUCUUGUUCUUCAGGCUGCAAAGCCGGGGAAGUGGUAUAAAAAAAGCUGGGCAUGGAUGUGUGCCAGGAGGUAGUAAACAAACUGGGAGCUCUGUUUUUCCUCUGGCUUUCACUCCAGAGCCUUGUCUGUCUGUGGAGGAGAUUGCCCGGCUGCACUGGGCAGAUUUCUCAGAUUCUAAAACCGGCACUUUUAUUUAUUUUUUGGUGAUGGGGAGGAGUAGGAGUAAUUAACCCUGCUUUGUAGAGAGCCAGGUGAGCAGCAGGAAGCUGUGUGGACUCUGCAUUCAGGCCAAAGGCAGUAAAUGGCACGAGAGCAAAGUUCAGAGCUGCCUUCAAUCCUCGUUCACAUAAUGAAAGCAUGAAAGCAGAUUCACACGAUGGAUGAACAUGAAAAGCCAAACAUAUCGAUCACUCCGUACAUCGCUGGCAACCAGCUGUUCUGGCAGCAGUCUUACAAGGGCUCUGCUGCAGUCAGACACAAGAUAAUGAGGAGCAAGCAAAGGAGCCUGGAUCGGAUGGUGGACUCUGUCCAGCAAACGCAUUUGCUGUGUGCCUGAAACCUGCUGCACAGAGGCAGAGAAGCUGUGGCAGUGCUGCAGGGAGCAUCAGGACGCCAGAGCUGCCCGAAGGGCCCAAACAUCCAAACCCUCUGCUUCCCUCGGGCUCUGCUGCACGACUAACAAAGCAGGUGGUGCGCAAGCCUAGGUAUUUGACGUUUCUGAAGAUGAGAUAAAGGAGAAGAACCUCCCACACUACCUGUGAAGCCAUGACCAACUCCGGGGACACAAUGAUUUCUUUAACAGUGCUGUGAGUCUCUUUGUGUGUACGGUAAGUUGUGUUGUGCCUGCAAUCCAAAAUAAAGGCCAGCACAUGCCACUAGUGUGCUUCACACAGAGUGCACCAAUGAGUACAUACAUGGACUUUCACAACUACAUCUUCAAAAGCUGUUUUAGGUGAGCUGAAGUCCUGCUGUGCUCUGCUGUUGGGCUUGUGUGGCUCAGACACCAAAGCAUGGUGUCUGAUGGGUAUGGGCUAUGUGUAAGGGUUUUCUUUUGUUCUUUCGUAUUUUCAUACAGGAUGCAUGGGAGCAGGUUGUCUUGCCUUGAGACACUGCUUGUAGGAAGGGCAGAAAGCCUUUGGAUGCCUGUCUCACCCCAAGGAUAUAAUUCUGUAGCUGCCUAUCCUCCUCUGCAGCAUCGCCCAGCCAUGAGGUCCUGCUGUUGCCUGCGGUCCAAAUUGCACAUGACUACUGAUUUUUUUUCACAGGUUUCACUAAACACAUGGCUACAGUCAGGUAAUGCAGGUUCUGCUGAAAGCCUAAUGCAGAGUGUUACAACUCCUGUACAACUCAGGAUGGAUUUUCAUCUGUACAGCUUUGCAGGUAGUCACGUAGCUAAGUGACACUGAGCUGAGAAAUCUAUAAAGUGGAACGUCUUUGUUAGCCAUCUCGUGGAAUUGUUAAUGUCAUCUUUAGCUCUCAUUCAUGCCAAUUAGCCAAAGCCCCAUGGAGGAGGACUAGAUACAUAAUUCCAGCUGGAACUGGUGCGUCAUGUGUGGUUGCUGCCACAGGUCCUCAGCUCAGACUCAUCACUCAUCCGGCUAGUCACAGGGGUACUCUGGCAGUCCCAUCCGGAUGAUGCUUAUUUAGUCCCUUUGGUCUGCUGAAGCUGGUAAUAAAUCAGCUCCAUAAUGAGGUGAAAUUGCCAUUGGAACACACUAUAACUACAUUGUCCAAAAGGCUUUAUUAGGCAAAAUAGCUGCUUGAUAUCUGCCUAGUUUGUUGGUAGCCUUUCUAACUGGUUUGUCUUAUGGCUGAUCUUGAAUAGUUUAUAUAUACAGAAGGUAUUUUCCAAGACAUUUAUAGGAGUAUUGGGCUAACAGUCCAUAGCAGCACUCAGGACUGGUCGUCUUUGUUCUCCUGGGACAAGGGAUACUUCAUAAGAGUAACACUCUUAUGCCAUUCACACUCACAUGCCAUUUUUUCUUGAAAGCAAUUCUCAAAGGUGGUUACAACAUCAAUACUACACAUUUCCUUUCCCCUCCACUAAAAUAGGGCAGCCCCGAUAAUUUUCCUUAUAUCAAACUGGAUUAAAGGCUAGCAAUUCCAGUGCUGUCUAGGGGAUUUAAACACCCUGAUUGCCAGUGAUACCACUAGAAUCCAAAUAGCAGAAAUCUUUCUAAAUGCUUCCACACUGCUUUCGCCUACAGCAGCCACCAGCAAACCUUUAUUUUCCUUCUUUUCAGCCCAAAUGUUUUU